rnacentral:lncRNA from 1 species
GGGUACAAGUAAUCAAAGUAACCCAAGAUUCACCUGCUUUCCAAUAUCCAUUAAUACAUGCUCAGUUGUGGCUCCAGGGGCCACCACCAAAUGACAGUAAGGACACAGGAGAGAAGUACCUGCCCAGCACACCCAGGAACAUGAUGGACAAAUGCCAGACUCAUGAAAAUGCAGCAGAAGAAACAAAGAAAUGGCAACUUGGGACAGGGCGAGAUGGACAGAGAGGAGGACAGAAAGCGUGGAGGAAAUUGUGUACUAUAGCCAACAUUAAAGACUGACAUCACCACCUGAUCUCAGCUUGCAGAUUUUAUUUUAUGUUUUUUCCCU